AAAGUCGUAACAAGGUUUCCGUAGGUGAACCUGCGGAAGGAUCAUUAAAGAGAGUAAAAAAUUUUUACAUUGUGCAAGACAGUACUAUAAAUUAAUUAGUGAAAAAUAUUAAUAGAGACAACUUUUAGCAACGGAUCUCUAGGUUCUC
rnacentral:misc_RNA from 1 species